rnacentral:rRNA from 1 species
UACGUAGGGUGCAAGCGUUGUCCGGAAUUAUUGGGCGUAAAGAGCUCGUAGGCGGUUCGUCACGUCGGCUGUGAAAUCCCGAGGCUCAACCUCGGGUCUGCAGUCGAUACGGGCGGACUGGAGUACUGCAGGGGAGACUGGAAUUCCUGGUGUAGCGGUGAAAUGCGCAGAUAUCAGGAGGAACACCGGUGGCGAAGGCGGGUCUCUGGGCCGUAACUGACGCUGAGGAGCGAAAGCGUGGGGAGCGAACAGG